rnacentral:misc_RNA from 1 species
UGCGUUCCCUCUGAAGUCAC